rnacentral:rRNA from 1 species
AGAGUUUGAUCCUGGCUCAGGAUGAACGCUAGCUACAGGCUUAACACAUGCAAGUCGAGGGGCAUCAGGAAGAAAGCUUGCUUUCUUUGCUGGCGACCGGCGCACGGGUGAGUAACACGUAUCCAACCUGCCCUUUACUCGGGGAUAGCCUUUCGAAAGAAAGAUUAAUACCCGAUAGCAUAAUGAUUCCGCAUGGUUUCAUUAUUAAAGGAUUCCGGUAAAGGAUGGGGAUGCGUUCCAUUAGGUUGUUGGUGGGGUAACGGCCCACCAAGCCUUCGAUGGAUAGGGGUUCUGAGAGGAAGGUCCCCCACAUUGGAACUGAGACACGGUCCAAACUCCUACGGGAGGCAGCAGUGAGGAAUAUUGGUCAAUGGGCGCUAGCCUGAACCAGCCAAGUAGCGUGAAGGAUGAAGGCUCUAUGGGUCGUAAACUUCUUUUAUAUAAGAAUAAAGUGCAGUAUGUAUACUGUUUUGUAUGUAUUAUAUGAAUAAGGAUCGGCUAACUCCGUGCCAGCAGCCGCGGUAAUACGGAGGAUCCGAGCGUUAUCCGGAUUUAUUGGGUUUAAAGGGAGCGUAGGUGGACUGGUAAGUCAGUUGUGAAAGUUUGCGGCUCAACCGUAAAAUUGCAGUUGAUACUGUCAGUCUUGAGUACAGUAGAGGUGGGCGGAAUUCGUGGUGUAGCGGUGAAAUGCUUAGAUAUCACGAAGAACUCCGAUUGCGAAGGCAGCUCACUGGACUGCAACUGACACUGAUGCUCGAAAGUGUGGGUAUCAAACAGGAUUAGAUACCCUGGUAGUCCACACAGUAAACGAUGAAUACUCGCUGUUUGCGAUAUACAGUAAGCGGCCAAGCGAAAGCAUUAAGUAUUCCACCUGGGGAGUACGCCGGCAACGGUGAAACUCAAAGGAAUUGACGGGGGCCCGCACAAGCGGAGGAACAUGUGGUUUAAUUCGAUGAUACGCGAGGAACCUUACCCGGGCUUAAAUUGCAGUGGAAUGAUGUGGAAACAUGUCAGUGAGCAAUCACCACUGUGAAGGUGCUGCAUGGUUGUCGUCAGCUCGUGCCGUGAGGUGUCGGCUUAAGUGCCAUAACGAGCGCAACCCUUAUCUUCAGUUACUAACAGGUUAUGCUGAGGACUCUGGAGAGACUGCC